ACCUAUUGCUAAUCUGAAGAAUUACUCUCCAUUGUGGCAACCACAAUUUGGCGACCACGAAGGGACAAGGAGUUGGAGGCGUCAGCCGUGGACCUUGGGCGUUGUUGCCACUCUGCGCACCCAGAGAGCACCAAGCGGCCGCAUAAGAUAAGGUGAAAGGAGCCACAGCGGACCGAGACGCAGAGAUUCCUGACCAUCUGCUGACCAUACGGCCAGGCGACCAGGUGUACUUGAAAGUGAUUAAGAGAAGGUGGGACCAACCUAGAAGGGAAGGCCCGUAUACAGUUAUCCUAGCAACUCCAACAGCUGUUAAAGUUGCAGAUAAACAGUAAUGGCAGAAUCAGGAGUGAAGAUAGAGUAUUCAGACAGCCCUACUAGGCCUGGGACCAGUCAGCCACUGGAGAGACCCUUGUGGCGCCCAUCCGCAGCCAACCAGUCAGAGGUCCCGCCCGACGUCAAAGUGGGGAAGUUUUGGCUUCAGCGGUUGGCAUCCAUUAAUCCUGCAUCCGCCCAGGGGGGGCAGCCAGAGCCACAGAGGGCACCUCUCUGGACCCUAGUUCCAGAGCCACGCGCGCCUACAUCACCGAUGACACCGCCACAGUCUCCUGUCUAUUCUGGAUCCUCAACACCACCUACUCCCAGGGCCCUAACGCCAAUUCCAGAGUCUCAGAGGUCACCCAGACCGGGGCCAAGCCACUCACAAAGCCCAUACAGACCUCCGAUCGUCGACCUUCUGUCACUAAGCCCCGUGUCCACUGCCAGCAUGACCUAUGAGCAUUCCGGACGUGAUGAAGGGUCUACACGUUCUAACACCCCUGUCAAGGGAAGUGCUGCUGAGUCUACAGUGACAGCGUGGGGAGAUGUUGCUGAUUCCACUGUGCAAGAACACCUUAUGCAACUCCCCAAGCCUGAAUUCCAAAGAGAAAUUCGAAAGCUGCCUCCAAGCUGGGCCCAGGAGAUCAAAAGGAAAAGAAAUAAUUACAAUGCCCGCUGUCAGUAUGCCCAACGCAAGCAGAUGUAUGCAACCGCCCUGCAGACCACAG
ensembl:lncRNA